GCAAUAGUAGAAAACACAGAAUGGACAAUAGAAUUCACUGUAAAACAAUAUCCUGAGGAGUGACCUUUGAACUCACGAAACCGGUAAAAACAUUAUUGAGAGGAGAAAAACAGAAAAGUUCAGUUUGGAGUAUGAAACAGACGAGAUGGACCAGUUAUGUUAUUCUUUUGAAGAUUUAUUCAAGUAUAUAACGGGAACGCCGAGACAAGCCCAGCUACUUGAAGUCUAGACUGUCUUCACACUGGUCCUUCUCACCAUGAUGAUCAAUAAGUUGGCCUUGUCAAGCUGAUGACCUGACAUUCUUUCGAACUUCCUAAUAUGCAGUGACAA